rnacentral:lncRNA from 1 species
GGUUGGGAGGGCUCUUCUCCCACUUGGCCCACAGGAGGCUCUUUCCAGCUUAGCUUUUUGUUAGCUGUCUUCUUUCUGUCGGCUUGCUUCUGCACAACUUGGUCUUCUUCUACCUGUGCAUAUUUUCAAGCGUAUGUGAGCAAGUCAGCGUAGUCCCUUAGGAAUAUUUUGGUGAGGGAGAAGAUGAGACGCUCAUUCCAUAGUCCUCGCUUGAGCAUUGAUGUCACCACCGACUUGUCAAGGUUGCAUACUUCAAAUAUGGU